GAAGAACCAACCAACAUAAUUGGUCUUAUCCUGGUUAAAAAUUUGCUUACAAUCCACCCAGAUGAUGAAGUUCCAGUAAAGAGCGUUACCAUUCGACGGAUUCCUAGGGUUCCAGAAACUAUGCCAUUAUAUGACAUUUUGAAUGAGUUCCAGAAAGGUCAUAGCCACAUGGCCAUUGUUGUCAAACAGUGCAACAAAAUGAAUGGGAAACCUGAUGAUAAACUGGGCGAUGAUUCCCAGAGAGAUGUUAGAAUUGAUGUGGAUGGUGAAAAGCCCCCACAAGAAAAAACUUUGAAGAACAAGAGGCCACUUCAGAAGUGGAAAAGCUUUCCCACCACAAACAGUUCAUUCAGGAGUGGCUCUAGAAGCAAGAAGUGGACAAAAGAUAUGUACUCUGAUAUUCUGCAGAUAGAUGGAAGUCCUCUUCCUAAGCUCGCUGAGGAAGAAGAAGCCGUCGGCGUCAUCACGAUGGAAGAUGUCAUUGAAGAACUUUUGCAGGAGGAGAUCUUUGAUGAGACUGAUCAUCAUUUUGAGGACUCAUAAUAGCGAUUUUGGAACCCACAAAACUGAAAUCAAAG
rnacentral:misc_RNA from 1 species